UACGUAGGGAGCAAGCGUUGUCCGGAAUCAUUGGGCGUAAAGCGCGCGUAGGUGGCCAUGUAAGUCCGCUGUGAAAGUCAAAGGCUCAACCUUUGAAAGCCGGUGGAUACUGCAUGGCUAGAGUACGGAAGAGGCGAGUGGAAUUCCUGGUGUAGCGGUGGAAUGCGCAGAUAUCAGGAGGACCACCAAUAGCGAGGGCAGCUCGCUGGGACGUCACUGACACUGAGGCGCGAAAGCGUGGGGGCGAACAGG
rnacentral:rRNA from 1 species